AUUGAACGCUGGCGGCGUGCUUAACACAUGCAAGUCGAUCGGUAACAGGUGUAGCAAUACAUGCUGACGAGAGGCGGACGGGUGAGUAAUGCUUGGGAAUCUGCCUAUUAGUGGGGGACAACCCGGGGAAACUCGGGCUAAUACCGCAUACGCUCUACGGAGGAAAGCCGGGGACCGCAAGGCCUGGCGCUAAUAGAUGAGCCCAAGUCGGAUUAGCUAGUUGGUAGGGAACGGCCUACCAAGGCGACAAUCCGUAGCUGGUCUGAGAGGACGACCAGCCACACCGGAACUGAGACACGGUCCGGACUCCUACGGGAGGCAGCAGUGGGGAAUAUUGGACAAUGGGGGCAACCCUGAUCCAGCGACGCCGCGUGGGUGAAGAAGGCCUGCGGGUUGUAAAGCCCUUUCGGUGGGGAAGAAAAGUCUCGACCUAAUACGUCGGGACCUUGACGUAACCCACUAAAGAAGCACCGGCUAACUCUGUGCCAGCCCGCCG
rnacentral:rRNA from 1 species